CAGCAGAGCCGGGAAAAGGGGGCGGAGCAAAGUGUCUGUGCAGGAGUGGAGUCCAGCAGAGAGAGCUGCUUUUUCAUGAAACUUUAGAUCAGCGUGAACCACAUGGGUCUCUGCUCCCUGAUCUGUUUCCUGUGUUUGGAAAGACUUCCACCUUCAUCACGGAGUUUCUCUCGGCUUUUUGUGGGCUCAUCUAAAGCUGAGUAACAGGAGGAGAAGAGUGGUGGUGCAGCAGAGG